AUUGAACGCUGGCGGCAGGCCUAACACAUGCAAGUCGAACGAGUGGCGGACGGGUGAGUAAUGUCUGGGAAACUGCCUGAUGGAGGGGGAUAACUAGUGGAAACGGUAGCUACUACCGCAUACAAUCAGAUGUGCCCAGAUGGGCUUAGCUAGUUGGUGGGGUAACGGCUCACCAAUGCGACGAUCCCUAGCUGGUCUGAGAGGAUGACCAGCCACACUGGAACUGAGACACUGUCCAUACUCCGACGGGAGGCAGAAGUGGGGAAUAUGGCACAAUGGGCGCAAGCCUGAUGCAGCCAUGCCGCGUGUAUGAAGAAGGCCUUCGGGUUGUAAAGUACUUGCAGCGGGGAGGCGUUACCCGCAGAAGAAGCACCGGCUAACUCCGUGCCAGCAGCCGCGGUAAUAC
rnacentral:rRNA from 1 species